CUCCAAAUGGAGGACUCAUUUGAAAAAUAAACAGGGGGAAUGGUCUGCAGAGGGUUUAUUGAUUUAUUCAGCGUUAUUUAUCCGCAGAUAUCCUACAUUCAAGGCUGCAUCUGCACUGAAAUAGCUCAAAGUAACAUGUAUGUAAGGGAUGUUAUCAGCAGGUAGGACAGGUGAGUGACAGGUAAUUAUCCAGCCAUCUGUCCAUCUGUUGUCUACGUAUAUAAACCUGCUGCUUUUUCUGUGCAGGGUCCCAGGGGAUCACAGUCCUUUCAGGCUCAGGGUCCACCUGGACUUGUUACCAGUCCAUCAAUUCUCUAUAAGAGGAAACUUCCCGAG